AACCGGCAGCGCUAUAAUGGCAGUCGAGCGAACUGAUUAGAAGCUUGCUUCUAUGACGUUAGCGGCGGACGGGUGAGUAACACGUGGGCAACCUGCCUGUAAGACUGGGAUAACUUCGGGAAACCGAAGCUAAUACCGGAUAGGAUCUUCUCCUUCAUGGGAGAUGAUUGAAAGAUGGUUUCGGCUAUCACUUACAGAUGGGCCCGCGGUGCAUUAGCUAGUUGGUGAGGUAACGGCUCACCAAGGCAACGAUGCAUAGCCGACCUGAGAGGGUGAUCGGCCACACUGGGACUGAGACACGGCCCAGACUCCUACGGGAGGCAGCAGUAGGGAAUCUUCCGCAAUGGACGAAAGUCUGACGGAGCAACGCCGCGUGAGUGAUGAAGGCUUUCGGGUCGUAAAACUCUGUUGUUAGGGAAGAACAAGUACGAGAGUAACUGCUCGUACCUUGACGGUACCUAACCAGAAAGCCACGGCUAACUACGUGCCAGCAGCCGCGGUAAUACGUAGGUGGCAAGCGUUAUCCGGAAUUAUUGGGCGUAAAGCGCGCGCAGGCGGUUUCUUAAGUCUGAUGUGAAAGCCCACGGCUCAACCGUGGAGGGUCAUUGGAAACUGGGGAACUUGAGUGCAGAAGAGAAAAGCGGAAUUCCACGUGUAGCGGUGAAAUGCGUAAAGAUGUGGAGGAACACCAGUGGCGAAGGCGGCUUUUUGGUCUGUAACUGACGCUUAAGGCCGAAAGCGUGGGGAGCAAACAGGAUUAAAUACCCUGGGUAGUCCACACCGUAAACGAUAAGUGCUAAAUUGUAAAAGGUUUCCCGCCCUUUAAUGCUGCAGCUAACUUCUUAAAAACCUCCCCCGGGGGAGUACUGUCCU
rnacentral:rRNA from 1 species